rnacentral:rRNA from 1 species
UUGAACGCUGGCGGCAGGCCUAACACAUGCAAGUCGAGCGGCAGCGCGGGGCAACCUGGCGGCGAGCGGCGGACGGGUGAGUAACGCGUAGGAAUCUACCCAGUAGCGGGGGAUAGCCCGGGGAAACUCGGAUUAAUACCGCAUACGCCCUAAGGGGGAAAGCAGGGGAUCGUAAGACCUUGCACUAUUGGAAGAGCCUGCGUUGGAUUAGCUAGUGGGUAGGGUAAAGGCCUACCAAGGCGACGAUCCAUAACUGGUCUGAGAGGAUGAUCAGUCACACCGGAACUGAGACACGGUCCGGACUCCUACGGGAGGCAGCAGUGGGGAAGAUUGGACAAUGGGGGCAACCCUGAUCCAGCCAUGCCGCGUGUGUGAAGAAGGCCUUCGGGUUGUAAAGCACUUUAAGUGGGGAGGAAGGGGUGAUUGCUAAUAACAAUCAUCAUUGACGCUACCCACAGAAUAAGCACCGGCUAACUCUGUGCCAGCCGCCGCCGUAA